rnacentral:rRNA from 1 species
UCAUAAAGUAUGUCGUAGUCCGGAUUGGAGUCUGCAACUCGACUCCAUGAAGUCGGAAUCGCUAGUAAUCGUAGAUCAGAAUGCUACGGUGAAUACGUUCCCGGGCCUUGUACACACCGCCCGUCACACCAUGGGAGUGGGUUGCAAAAGAAGUAGGUAGCUUAACCUUCGGGAGGGCGCUUACCACUUUGUGAUUCAUGACUGGGGUGAAGUCGUAACAAGGUAACCGUAGGGGAACCUGCGGUUGGAUCACCUCCUUA